ensembl:lncRNA
AUGAUCCUACUGAUAUCAUGGUGUGUGUGUGCAGGAGAAGCUGCUGGUGAGUUGUGCAAAAAGAGGGCCAGGCUGUAUGACCAUGUUCCAGAAGCAUUCUCUGCUGACGUUUUGCCCGCAUCUAUGACAGGCAUCCUCAGAAGUUGUGAGGUAUAUUGGAAACUAAGCAAGGAAGAUUUAUAUAUCUGUGGAAGGUCCAGGGUGGGAGAAAGAACUGUUGUCUGUUGGAGACCAGUGUGAAUGUUGUAAUUAAUCACUUUGAUCAGCAUUAAUAUUUGAUUAGCAUUAACUUAAGUUACUCAAAGAACAUUUCUUCUUGUUCCAACAACCAAAUCUGCCACCUGCAAGUCACAGUGUUCACACAACUAUUAUAUACCUUUACCUCUCUCAGUCCUAUGGUUUACAUUAAUGUUAAUAGCUAACAUAAAAGUGAAUUGUGUUUUCUCAAUUUUUCUUGCUAAUGUUCCAAUCUCUGUACGAGAUCAUUAAGGGUGUGGCGCUCCAAGGCAAUGGGUUCUUCCAUAGGCUUGGCUUUGGCUAGAUUGUGCCUUGGGUACAGGAAGGGCACCCAUGCCGGCUGCCAACCUCCUGGCUCAGAGAAAGGUUUCCCACCAUACCUUUUAACACUUGAACAGCCAUGAAAAAUGUGCAAGGUGUGGCAUCUCCUCUUGUAGUAAUCAAGAAAGCCACAGCCCCCAAAUGUUUUCCUACCUUUCUGCUACUUUUAAGGAAGGGGAAAAAUCAAGAAAAGUACUGACAAUCAGAGCAGAGCCUCUCUUCCUCCCACUCUUCCUCCCAACUGCAUUGUGGUUGUGAGAAGCACUGUGUAUGAAAUGGUGUCAUAAUAGAGUUCUUUCAUGCACAUUUUUGAAUCUCCUCCAGUCUUGAAGCCUGAACAUUCCCCUAUUCCAGUGGGGAAUGUUCUGCCCUGCAGGUUGAAUUCAAACUAAAUAACAUCAAAUUCCUACACAUAGCACUCCCUUCCCACAAGAAAUUUGAAAUGCCAAAGUUUAUGGUUGGAUUUAUAGGCAUCGUACAUUGUUAUGGCAGUUUCCCAGCUGCUAUUGUUGCUGCUUCUCUACUACCGUGUUUCCCCGAAAAUAAGACAGUGUCUUAUAUUAAUUUUUGCUCCCAAAUUUGUGCUAGGUCUUAUUUUUAGGGGAUGUCUUAUUUUUCCAUGAAGAAGAAUUCACAUUUAUUAUUGAACAAAAAAAAAUGAACAUUUAUUAUAUACUGUACAGUAGUUGUCAUUACAAAUCAGACAAACUAUGACUCCUGUCAAGAAUUUCUUGUUACUACUGUAUAAAUAUAAAUAAUAUAACAUUUUAAUAUAUUAUUACCAUUAUUUCCAUGUACAACUGGCAUAUACAUUUACCGAUCCUGCAAAUUCUGGUGUUUUGUUUGGCGGGCGUCGGGCAUGCUUCCAAACAAAAACUUUACUAGGUCUUACUUUCGGGGGAGGCCUUAUAUUUAGCAAUUCAGCAAAACCUCUGCUAGGUCUUAUUUUUUGGGGAUGUCUUAUUUUCGGGGAAACAGGGUAUAACUAUAGCUCCUCCUCCUUGUCCUUCACCACAUAACUGAGGACCUCAUCGCAUUAAGAAAUAUUCAAUUUCCAUCAGUAUGCAUUGUAUUUGUUUUAUGACGGAAUGCACACUGUUUUCAGAUGGGAUGCAU